GGCUGAUGUUCACUUUUGAAGAGGACCACAGUGAAACCCUUUUAAUAUUACCUAAUGAUUCCACAGACCUCCUGGGUGUUAAAUCAGGUGAAUCUAUUUUUAAAAAUUGCUAUUUACUUUUUUAGGUGGCUGAUCAGGACAGUAUGAAAUUUCAUACAGUUUCCUAACUUGAGAAAACAUGGUGAUGCAAUUCCUCCAACCAGGAGGGAUUUAUGGACAGCGGUGGCUACGUCCUAAUCUGCCCAGAAUACAGGAUGACUAAACAAAUUGGCAAACGGACGCAGCUUUCUCUCUCUCUAAGAAAAGUCUGCUGAGAACCCUCGUUCCCACUCUGUUUCUGCCUCCAAGAAGAAAAGCCUAAAACUCACUUUCUUCCGGACUCUUUCAAGGAAGCUGAUUAAAAGAAGCUCCUAAACCAGAGGUGCAGACAAGGUGAUGAUGUGGCUCUCAGAGGAAGGUGUGCUACCUACAACCCUGCUGGCUUCAUGGAAGAAUAUGCUUCUCAAAUGCAAAUCCAAUCAAGUUAUCCCCCUGCUUAAAUCCAAACUCGCUCAUGUGGCCCACAAAGCCUACCUUGCCUGCCUCUCUCUAACCUCACCCAAAACACACUUCCAUUGCUCUCUAGGUUCCAGCACCCUGACCUUUUGGUCUGCACUGUGCCAGGCUCCCUCCAGCCCUGAAGCCUUUGCACAUGCUGUUCCUCCUGUCCGGAAAGGCUCUCCCAUCUUGUCUAUUCGUUCUCCAGGCUUUAGCUCAAGUGACUCUUCCCGAGAGCCUUCUCUGACCCCAGUCCAGGUCAAGUUCCUCUGUCACAUGCCUGACCCUGCAUCCCUCCUUGACAGCACUUAUAUCAGCUUGUAACACAUUUUUGUGUGAUUAUUUUGUUAAUGUCAGCCUCUCCCACAAACUGUAAGCUCAGUGAGGGAUGGAAGCAUGCCUAUUUCUAAUCAUCAUGGUAUCCUCAGCACUCAGCACAGCACAUGGUACAUCAGGAAUGCUCAUAAGCAUUAAUAGAGAAAUGACUGAUUUGAGUCAGACGAAGACUCAGUAUGCCAGGACGUUCAGGCCGAGAGUCUAAGAGGCUGCCGGAGGGCUUCGGAACCAGUGAGCCCACUCAAUUCAGCCUGCUCAGUAACCUGUGUGUACUUUAUCAGGAAGAAGGUACAGUCCCUCCCUCCCCUAUCCGUUUCCCAACCACAGGAUCAAAAUAACCCGGAAGCAUUACCUUUGCAUCGAGGGUGAGCAGCAACUCAAACUCGUUGUAAAACUCCUUGGGGCUGAGCAACGGGUACUCCUUGACUGUGCCCAGGAAUGUCGCAAUGUCGUUCAAGGCGAUGUCAACCCCUUCUCGAGACUGGCACUUGUCUACAGCUUGGGAAGCCAAGAGGUAGAUUCCUGCCUCACACCAUUGGCUGACCUUUUGGAAAGAAACAGUGCCCUGUGCACUUCGCCUGACCACAACUCAGAGCCACCGUAAUCCUCAGCAGGUCUGAGCUUGUAAGGUGUCUACAAGGAUUCCCAGACAAUGGGAAAUUGUCAUGGGACGGCAUCGAGUUUAAGGGGUCUAACCACUGUAAAUUACACUAUGAGGGGGACAAACCCAAACCAACUGAUACCUGUCCACUUCUCAGGGAAGUCACUCGGUCAGCAAAAUGAGUCUCUUCCAUUAACAGUAAUUGCUACAUCUCCAGGAGGAGACAGCUAAAUAUAUAUUUAAUUUAAGACAGGGUUUCACUCUGUCACCCAGGCUGGAGUGCAGUAGUGCAAUUAUGGCUUAAUGCAGCCUGGAGAGGUCUACCCCAGGCUCAGGGGAUUCUUCCACCUUAGCCUCCUGAGUAGCUGGGACUACAGAUGCGUGCCACCACACCAGGCUAAUUUUUCCUUCCUUCCUCCCUUCCUUCCUUCCUUCCUUCCUUCCUCUUUCUUUCUCUCUGUCUCUCUCUCUUUCUUUCUUUCCUUUUUUUGAGACAGGUUUUGGCCAUGUUGCCGAGGCUGCUCUCGAACUCCUGGGCUCAAGCAAUCCUCCCACCUCGGCCUCCCAAAGUGCUGGGAUUACAGGUGUGAGGCACUGCACCCACCCAGCCUUAUAGCUAAAUAUCUCUUAGGCUGGUCUAACCAUAGAGAAAUGUAAUCAAUGGCUUUUGGGGUUUACCUGCUAGUCCACUCUUCUUGCAUCCAAAUUGGUUACCAGAACACAGGGUGAUUAAUAAGACAUUAGACCUGGCCCUUACAUUUCCUGGGAGAAGGGCAUGUCCCUUUUAACAAAAACCAACCUUCGUCUUUGGAUUCCCAGGUGAUCCCUAUUUGCAUUUACUGGCGUUUGUCUUUCCUAAGGAAGCAAGAAUGCAAAGCUUUGUAACUCAGCACAGCAAUACUCAAGAGUUUCUGGAUGCUGGGAGGACAUUAGAUAGGUGAUGAGUUCUAAUUAUUCAAUUUUUUAAAAAGACUCAUUUUCUUUGCUCUUUUGAACUCCACUGAGACACUUGAACAGAAAGACAGGGAGCCCUUAUGCUACCUGAAGAGUUAUAUGAAAAGAAGCUUCCAGUGCCAAUACCUCUGCAUUUCCAUUUACCAUGUGACCUGAAAAGCAAUAUAAAAUAACUAUACAGAGAAAAAAGAUCAAAAUGCAACACACCAAAGUGGUUGUCUUUCUAAGUGGGAAAAUGAUAGGCAACUUAAGUUUUUGUCUUAUUUUUUUCCUAGAUUAUUUACAGUGAAUAUGUACCACAUUUAGAAUAAUAAAAAAUCAUAAAGAUA
rnacentral:sRNA from 1 species